CGGGUUCUGCCCUUCUCGUGCCUGUGGCAAUAUUCCGGUGGCCUUAAGCAAUUCCGAGGGAGCUGGCUCUGGCUGGAUCGUGGUCCGGUUACCUGGCGCCCACCUGUAUAUACAGGUCCUCGGGAAUGAACGCCUCCACGGUUGGUGUGGUCCCGUC
rnacentral:sRNA from 1 species